rnacentral:rRNA from 1 species
GACGGAAGGUGCAAGCGUUGCUCGGAAUCACUGGGCGUAAAGGGUGCGUAGGCGGCUUGGUAAGUUGGGUGUGAAAGCCCCGGGCUCAGCCCGGGAAGGGCACUCGAAACUGCCGAGCUGGAGUGCCGGAGGGGAGAGUGGAAUUCCUGGUGUAGCGGUGAAAUGCGUAGAUAUCGGGAGGAACACCUGUGGCGAAGGCGGCUCUCUGGUCCCAUACUGACGCUGAGGCGCGAAAGCUAGGGUAGCAAACAGG